rnacentral:rRNA from 1 species
AUACGGACGAUCCGAGCGUUAUCCGGAUUUAUUGGGUUUAAAGGGUGCGCAGGCGGCCAUUUAAGUCAGCGGUUAAAUCGUGGGGCUCAACCCCAUUCUGCCGUUGAUACUGGGUGGCUUGAUUGCGGUCGAGGUUGGCGGAAUUCGUUGUGUAGCGGUGAAAUGCAUAGAUAUGACGAAGAACACCGAUUGCGUAGGCAGCUGACCAGACCGCAAAUGACGCUCAUGCACGAAAGUGCGGGGAUCGAACAGGAUUAGAUACCCUGGUAGUCCGCACAGUAAACGAUGAAUACUUGUUUUCGGCGAUAUAAUGUCGGAGGCAAAGCGAAAGCGAUAAGUAUUCCACCUGGGGAGUACGCCGGCAACGGUGAAACUCAAAUGAAUUGACGGGG